UGCUUUCAGUGGUAGAGACAGAGAGAAGGGGAGAGAGAGAGAGAGAGAGAGAGACUGCAAAGCUCUCGAUCAUAGGGUUUUUAGAAAAGAGAAAAAGCAGAUUUUCGAUCUUUUCUAGGGUUUUUAGAGAGACUGAGAUUUUAAUCGGUUCAAGGGUUUUACAGAGAGAGAAAGAGAGACCUCGAUUGUAAUAUAGGGUUUUUCCUCUCUCCUCGAGAAGGUGUCAUAUCUACAGAGUAUGGUGGCUUUUCUUCGUUCCUCUUCUCCCUAUUGCCUCAUCUCAGGAGAAUGGUUGGAAAAUUGCUUCAAAUAAACACAACAAGAUUCUAUUUUCUCCAACAGUAAACUUAUGGAGAUGCCGAUAUCCGAAGAGGCCAGUGAUACUUUUGCAGGUGUACCUAUCAAGAAAAGGAGAUUCCUGAUGGCGCAGUCUUCGUCGCCACCAUCUCCAAUGUCUUCUUCACUGACAGGCGAAACUGAUGUAGCUCCAAACAAACGGUCCAUCUCAGCAUCUGAGUCAACGUGGAUGCCAGUUUAUGGGGGUUCUGCCAAUGUCAAGGGUUAUUCCUUGGAGGAUGGAGGAUGCUUCACCGAUAUCAAGUUAAAGUCUUUGACUAGGAAUGACAGUUCUCUUGGAUUAAGUCUUCAGCAUUCUGAUGUUACAGUUACUGCUAGUGCUGGGGAAGAAAUAAGCAGUAAAAGAAAGCUUAUAAUGGAGGAAAAGUCAGCAUGUCAGAGAAGUACAGAGAACAUUGAGCUGCAAUUAACUCUCAAUGACCCUUUUCGGGAAGAAAAAUCUAUGCCAGGCUAUCAAUCUGCUUUUCAGAAGGUUUCAGGGAAUUCUGAUUCUCUAUUGUCAUUGGGGCAACCUUUCGGGCAAUCUAUAGAAGGUCAAAGUAGUAGAGGGAGCUGUCAGGAUGAAGAGAAAUUGUAUCAGUAUUCACAGCUGCUUGAUGAGAGUUGCUCUGAUGUUCACCAUGACAAGCUAAAAAACCUGGCUUUGAUUGAGGAAGAACAUGAUAUCCAGAAUGAGUGUAGUUUUGCUGAAUCAAAUUCCAAUAGCACUCAUUUACUUGCAAACAGGUUACGUUGGGAUUUAAAUACCAUGAUGGAGACUUGGGAAGGCUCUAUGAGUAGUUCAGCCAUAAACCAUACAGCGGAUGGAACUGGCAUGUUGGGUUCAGGCAGCAUACGUGACAAGGAGCCUGUGAUAUGCCCAGCAGAGACGAUUCUUGGAGAACCCAAAGGGACCUAUGCAACUUCAGCAAAACAGGCACUUGUUGGGAGUGAGGACAGCAUAAGGCUGUCAUGCUCCUCCUUGUUUCCUGAGAAAGACUCUGAUUUCAAGGCUCCCCUUCGUAUACAGCUCAAUCCAUCUCCCAGUUACCUGCCAUCCUUCAGGCAAGGAGCUGCUAGUAAUACAACUAAACUGAAUUCAGUGACUGGGUCAUCUAAUCUGAAUUCUUCGGCAAAUCUAACACCACCAGCAGACAAUAUGAAAUCCGUUGAUUUUAAAUGUGUAAAAUCUGAACCACUUGAAGGUGAUGGUCAGGUAGCCAACAAAAAGGUGGUAAAUCAGAGAACACCAAAACCCGAACCAUCUGAUGGUGGUGGGCAAGUAGGACUCCAGACUGUGCAGGGAAGCAAUAUGAAAUUCAUAGUUUCUGGUGCAGUAAAAUCUGAACCGUUGGAGGAGAGUAGGCGAGAAAUUCCCAAGGCCGUGGAAGGAAUAUCAUGCCAGUCUGAGCAUCAUUCAGAAUUGCCUGUUAGUGGAGAGUUAUCCCAGGAAGCGACUGAAGAUGUUGUCAAGGGCUUGGGUUUAGUUUCCGAAUCUGUGCGACCCAAUCUUAAAGAAUUGCUGCUUGCUGAUCAGAUGGAAGAGAUUGCACAAGUGACCACUUCAGAAGUUUCCAAUCCCAAAUCAUCUAAAUCCAUUUCCACAGAUUCACUUCAUGUAGAUUCAUGCAUGAAUAAUGGGGUAGCUAAAGGUUAUGAGGAUAAGGAGACUAAUAAAACUGCUGAUACCCAAGAAGAUGAUCCUGGUAAGUGUGACCAUGAAUCAGAUGCUUCUCAUGAUGUGAAGGGUCCAAUUAAUACAGUUGGUAAGCGACAGAAGGAUGACAAUGAUUAUGAAGAUGGCGAGGUAAGAGAUCUGUUGGUUCAUAACACCAUUGAGGGUAUUGGUGUUGGUGAUGCAGGAGAAGCAGGGCAUUCGAAUAGUAGCAAAGAUGACCAUUCUCGUGGUAAUGGCGAUGAUCGUGCCACAGUAUCAUCACGUACUAAGGGCAUUGAUAGUAAAACUGAUAAUCCUGGUGAGAAAACCAAUGCUCAUUGCAUUGCAGAACAUGAUAGUGAUCUUAUCAACAAGAAGAUAGAUGAAGAUAAGAGUACAGGGCCGUGUUUGCAUGCAUCUUUGGCCACUGAAGUGCCAACUGCUGCAUCUGGAAAGAAGAGAUCUACUAAGGCGAUUCGGAAGGUUCCAAGGGAUUGCACGGGAAGGAAAGAUGGGUUGAAGAACCUUGAGACAGCAUCCAGUCAGGUGGUUAGUGCAAGCCAACAUCCAGUCACAGAUGAUGUUCAGGUUGACACUGUAAGCCGACGAGAGAAUGUCAAAGUAUCUAACCGAGCAGAAGCAAGCCAUUCUAAUCUUCCCAAAAGGAAGCCAGCUGUGGCAAGUCAAGAAGCAGUUAAAGAUGUCCAUGGUAGAAGCAACUCGAGCCGUAUUAUCAAUUUGCCUCGUGCACGCGAUGAAUCUCCAUCUGCAAGAACGAGAUCUAUACCAGGCAGGUCAUCACCGUUGCAAGCUGGAAAAGCUAGAUUUCCUGACAAGAGUGAUAAACUAAACCACCAGCGAGAUGAAAGCUGCAUGGAUGGUUUCAGGAAAUUUGAAAGAGAGAGAAACCAAGAUCAACCAAUAGGAAAAUCUGAAGCGGAUUUUAUGCAUGGCAGAAGACAGAUCGACAACUCGCUGGAUGCUUUAGGUGGUGGUAGUGAUCCAAAUUGGGAUUAUGCUUCUGAGCACUGUAGUAGUUCAACUGAUUUUCAAUUUCCUAGGCCUAAGAAAGCCACUGCUUUUGCAGCCAUGAUGCGUGAACGAGAUGACUUUGUUAUUGCACCUGAUGGUGCUAUUGUAAGUGCUGCUAGGGCACGGGGGAAGCCUUUAAGUGACGAUAUGCAGUUUUUUCAUCAUCUGACAUCUAGAAGGCGAUCACCUGGAGGUAGAGAUGGUCCCAUGCCACUCGAUGUGCAAAUGGCCCGCAGAUCUAUGAGAGACAUUGGCCGGGACAGGUGCAUUGGUGGAGGUGGCACUGACAUGGUCAUGCUUAGGAAGCCUGGAGGGAGAGGAGGGCCCAUGCCACUUGAUGUGCGAAUGCUCCACAGCCCAAUGAGAGACAUUAGCCCAGAGAGGCGCAUUAGUGGAGGUGGCACUGAUAUGAUAGUACUUGGGCAUCCUGGAGGGAGAGAGGGGCCAAUGCCACUCGGCAUGCGAAUGCCCCGGAGAUCUAUGAGGGACAUUAGCCCAGAUAGAUAUGGCUCUGAUAUGAUUUUUCUCAGACGACAGUCUGCAAGGAGAGAAGGGCCCAUGCCACCCGGUGUGAAAAUGGCCCAUAUGCCGCUUAGAGACAUUAGCCCAGAUAGGUGCAUUGGUGGAGGCGGCCCUGAUAGGGUUGUACUCAAGCACGAAGAAAAGUUUGUUAGGGGUUUACCAGAUAUGAUGCAUCCUUCGUUUCCACGUCCCGAACCUCAACGUAUACCAAAUCCAUUUGCACAGAGAGAGAGGAGCUUGUCACCAAUGCAGAUGAGGGGUCCUUUGCGUGUACCUCGAAUUGGUUCCAAAUCUCCACCGAGAUCCAGAACACGCUCUCCUGAUGGACGCUCAGAACUGAUGAACUGCAGACUCACACGGAAUCUCAGAAUUGAGAGGAUGAGAGUGCCUCCUGAGCAUCCUUGUAUUGCAGAAGAUAUGAUGAUUAGGAGGCAUGGUUCCCCACCUUAUGCAUCUAGAUUGUCUAAUGCUGUAAGAGAUGCAGGUCCGUCAAAGGAACAAGAUCUUCCAAGGCCUCUUCUCCGGAGGAGUCCAUCUGGCAGGGUUGUACAGAGAAUCAAUAGGAGGUUUGACAUGAUAGACCCUCGAGAAAGGGCAGAAGGGGAUGAACACUUGGGACCUUUGUACUCCGAUCGGUUGUUUGAGUUUGUGGGUGAUGACUGUCUUGAUGAGAGACGAAAAUUUAGUGAGAGGCAUGGACCAUUUCGUCCCUGUAGACCUCAUGAUGUUGUUGCUGAUGGUGAUGGAUUAGUUUAUCAUGCGGAAGGUGGUUCUAGACGUAGGGCUUUUCCUGAAGGUGCUGCUGAAUUUCAUGAGAGAGGGGAUUCAAGGGAUGUCGAUGGCCGCAUCAAGUACAGACUAGGAAACCCUAGGAGACCAAGAAGCAUAGAGGAGCAAGAACAUGAUUAUGGGCAUGGUGGGCCAGGAUGUCAUGACCCCAGCUAUGAUCUUGUCCGACUGAAAAAGAGAAGAAACUAGUAAUCUUCUUUUUCAAUGCCACAUGUCCGCCCAUUAUGUUCAAAGUGUAGGAUGGAAGUGGGCAUAAGAGCGGGCCUCCCUUGUGGUUGAUUAAUUAACUUUGUUCUGCUGAUGAAGUUGCUGACUCAUAUCUAUAUAUCUAUAUAUGUGCAGUUUUAAGUGGAGAAUUAUACGGUCGAAGUGGCUGAUUUGGUUUUUAGAUGGAUCAAUAACUUUUAAGAACUACAAGAGAAUUCGGCUCUUUUGGGGUGAGCGUGCAUCUUGGCUUCUCUGUAUCAAUAAAGCAAUCAAAGGUCUCUGUACAUAAAAGCAGAAUACUGUGUGAAAUGGUUGCUGAUUUCAUCCUAAGAUUAAAGAUUGCUGCUUGAUUUCAUCAACAAUCAUGUGAGACUCAGCUGCAAUGUUGAGGUUAUAAAAUUCACAUCUCUGAACUACUGUUAUCUAAACUGGUGCUUGGGCAGAGUGAGAAUGCAAAGUGUACUACUUGGAUGACGCACUGUGGGAAGGCUCUCGUCAAAUCUCUUCAGCAUUAUUCGGUCUUUGAUGCUUCAAUGCGUGAAGGCUCUAGUCAAAUCUCUUCAGCAUUAUACGGUCUUUGAUGCUUGAAUUCGUGGAAUGUGGCAAUCAAGAGCAUUUUAAUGGCCAUUGCUUGUUAUGCUUUAUCUCGAGCAAUAUACACUGUGGCUGCAUUACCUAAUUCAUGGCUAUUUCUUCAGACGGGUCUUCCUGAGACGAGACUACACCAUUUAGAUUGCCAAAUCACCCUCAGUUUGCAGCUGAAGAUGAAGUGGGUUGUACAUUGGGCGAGCCUACUUCAACGUAACGGAAAGAAGUUUGAGCUGUUGCAUGAUCUCUCUGCUUCUUGAUGAUUCAUCCAUACUUUGAAUUGCAAUCCCCCUUUUGAUGGGGGCAUCGAUUCGGUCACCUUUUGAUGCUCUUGCUUUUGCUUCGAUGCUAUGCUCGACUGAUGAUGUGAAAUUGAUGGAACGCCUGUCCCGUGCCCAUCUGAUUGACACAUGGGUUUUGUGUUGAUCUUUGAGCCUUUAAAAUGCUGUGAGCUGGAUUGGGUUGUUAGUGAAGAUCUCUUCUAGGCGAAAUGGGAAACAGAUUUGGGUUUCUGAAGAGUUUGCUUUGAGCACUGCAGGUUUAAGAUGGAAAGUGACGGGCGUGGCCCGCCCCCUCUAGUGAAAUCAUUCCCUUGAUGA